rnacentral:rRNA from 1 species
AGUGAACGCUGGCGGCGUGCUUAACACAUGCAAGUCGAACGAGAACGGAUUAUAGCUUGCUAUAAUUGUCAGCUAAGUGGCGCACGGGUGAGUAAUGUAUAGGUAAUAUGCCUCUUACUAAGGGAUAACAAAUGGAAACGUUUGCUAAUACCUUAUACUCCUUAUUAACAGAAGUUAAUAAGGGAAAGAUUUAUUGGUAAGAGAUUAGCCUGUAUUGUAUCAGUUAGUUGGUGGGGUAAUGGCUUACCAAGACUAUGACACAUAACUGGUUUGAGAGGAUGGUCAGUCACACUAUAACUGAGAACCGGUCCAGACUCCUACGGGAGGCAGCAGUGGGGAAUAUUGCACAAUGGACGAAAGUCUGAUGCAGCAACGCCGCGUGGAGGAUGACACAUUUCGGUGCGUAAACUCCUUUUAUAUGAGAAGAUAAUGACGGUAUUAUAUGAAUAAGCACCGGCUAACUCCGUGCCAGCCGCCGCGGUAA